GUUUUGCAGUCUUACCUGGUAACAAGCACCACAGCCAACCCCAUUGCGAUAGAGGUCAGAGGCGGCUGACACAUCCCCACCAUUAAUGGUUGCUCCAAACGCACCGAACCCGCAAGCACCGACUACAGUUCAAAAGAGAAGAAUUUGGAUAAUAAGCUGCUCGAGAUUGAACAAAGCAGUCAUCACACGUUGCAGCCUUGCCGACUAGUGUUUGUAAAUAAAGAAAAGCAAUGAGAAGGCACAAAGGUGAUCGCAGACAGAAAGCCAUUGUAGGACAGAAGAUGAGGGAAUUCAAUGAGAGGUGUAGCUGGAAUAUUGCAUGAAGCUAAAUGGUUACAAUGGUAUUUAUAGUAGCUAUGAAGUGUAAUCUCUUCAAUUUGGCUUGUUAAGAUGCUUUACAGGAGCAUGCCGAGGUGGACUGCCAUUGAAGAAAAGAAAACACAUCUCACAUCUGUAGAACCAAAUCAGCCAUGACAUGGAAACCACUUUGAGGGUUUCAAGGACCAGACGAUGACACCUUGGCAAUCUCAAUUUGCCUAGCUAUGUAAGAGGAAAGAGCUGGGA